rnacentral:rRNA from 1 species
CGGCAGAAGCUAUAGGUCUUCUUAUAGCUGCUGCCGGUGGACCAUUAAACUCUUGUUAUUUUAUGUAAUCUGAGCGUCUUAUUUUAAUAAGUCAAAACUUUCAACAACGGAUCUCUUGGUUCUGGCAUCGAUGAAGAACGCAGCGAAAUGCGAUAAGUAAUGUGAAUUGCAGAAUUCAGUGAAUCAUCGAAUCUUUGAACGCACAUUGCGCCCAUUAGUAUUCUAGUGGGCAUGCCUGUUCGAGCGUCAUUUCAACCCUUAAGCCUAGCUUAGUGUUGGGAAUCUACUUCUCUUAGGAGUUGUAGUUCCUGAAAUACAACGGCGGAUUUGUAGUAUCCUCUGAGCGUAGUAAUUUUUUUCUCGCUUUUGUUAGGUGCUAUAACUCCCAGCCGCUAAACCCCCAAUUUUUUGUGGUUGACCUCGGAUCAGGUAGGAAUACCCGCUGAACUUAAGCAUAUCAAUAAGCGGAGAGAAA